GUUCAGAUCAUUCGACCCUGAAAUCACUACGUUUCGAAAACUAGUCUCGUUCUUCUUGCUCAAGCUGUAGGCAGGUAAUGUUCCAUUCCCGAGAAACACAUCAUUCGAGAAUGAAGAUAUAGUGAAGGAGUCAUAGAAAAAGGUGAAGUGGGAGUUGGGGUUUUUCGAGAUGAUGGUGAGAUUGAGAAGGGUGGAGAGGUGGGAGGUGGCGGAGUCAGCGGAGGUAGUGAGAUUCAGGCGGUGGAUACGAAGGGAAGGGAUGGAGAAGGCAGGUCGGUGGGGGUGGUACAUGAUGUAAAAAGCAGCUCCAGCAAUUGCAGCGAGGAGGAUGAGCAAUAGAAGAACAAGGAGGCUCCAGAAGCAGCAACAGCAGCAAAUGCUCCCGCCACUACGGGUAC
rnacentral:misc_RNA from 1 species